rnacentral:lncRNA from 1 species
AAUUGACAACGACAAAAUUCAUCAGGUAGUUGUAUAAAACACUAAAUCUAUCCUUUACGUCGUUACUUCGCCCAGAUAUCACCUAAAUUAAUACACCUUUCGCAUUACUAAACCCAUCGUACUUUACUUAUUUUUAAUACUACCACAAUACGCCUGCGCUAAAUACGAAGAUUAUUACGAUUAAUAAUUCUAGUUAAUCCAAUCAUUAAAUAAACUUACAAAAAUUAUAAAUCGGCUCACCAGUAUCAAACGCGAUCCAAUACUCGUACGAAUGCGGAUAAAUCCUGGCUCGAGCUUCCUGUCGCGCACAUGGUGAAUACCAUGCUGUUAGCCUCCGACUUCACCCAACUCUUGAGAUUUCUUGCUGACGCGCGGAACGACGACGAGAUUGAUUCUGAAGGGAGCUGGACUGCUGGCCAGUGACUCACGGCACGGCGAGCACGAGCACAGAGAAAGGAAAAGCUCAGGACCGAGCUCAAGGAAGGACCGCGCAAGGAGCUUGGCGCGCAGGGACGAGCGGGAGCAGAACGCUGGGCGCGCAGGAAAGCGAGCUAAGCGCGCAUACGCGGAAAAGGGAGCUGGGCACAUAACGCGCAGGAGCUUUGGCCGACGCCAUGGCUGGGAGCUAGGGCGAGCAGCACGCAGGCACAGCACACAAGGAGAAGCGUGCGCUGGGUGAGCAGGGAGCAGGAAGCCGGCGAGCCAACAGAGGAAGACACUCUGGAGAAACAGGGAGCUAGAGGAGGUCGCGCAUAGGGAGGUAGGUGGCCGAGCUGGGCGACUCCGGCGUGCAGGGAGUAUCGCGAGCUGGAACCAGGGUGCGGCGUGUCUUCCAUGGCCGAGCAGAGUGGUGGACUGAGGGGGACGCGGCCAAGCGGAGCAGGGGCAACACCAGCGAGCUCGCGCGUAGGGAAAACCAGGGAGCAGAGGCACGACAAUCCUGGCUAAGCAGAGGGGACGCCGCGAGCUGGAGCUGUAGUCAGGCGCUGGGCAGGGACCGAGCAGGGAGCACCAGGGAACAGCGGCAUCAGGCAUAGAACGAGAGCCCGACCAGGAGACGUGGAGUCGGGGCGGAGCUCGGCAGGGUCACGGCUGGGGACUUGGGCGCCGGGCGCCAUGGGGAAGGAAGCUUGGCUGCGACACGCAGAGAAGCUCCGAUCCGAGGACAGAGCGCUCAGGCGCUAUGGAGGGAGCACCGCGAGGGAGCUGCGUGGAGAGGGAGAGCUCGGCUGGGAGGAGUGGAAGACCACUCGGCUGAGCGAGGGAGAAGAUCAGUGGCUGCAAACAAAUAAUCUGUCGGAUGGGAAGCGGCGGCAGCAGGUAAGGCGGCUGGAGAUUUUUCUCCAAGUACGAGCGGCACAGACCAGGGGAUAAGGGCGAUGGGGAUAAGGAUGAGACCGGACGCGGGGAAGACCACAGGGAGCCGACGUAUGGAAACUAGGAGGCCAGCAACGUUUGUCCUAGAAGCUAGCGAUAGCAGGGAAUUUCUAGAAAUUGAACGUGAUGCUUGAGAAAGGAGGUGGCGUGGAGUUAGAAGAUAGAGAUGGCUAGGGAAUUCUCCAGGAGAUGACGUGGGAGGAUAAUAGAGAUAGGGAUGGUGGAGAGGAUAAGUACAUGAGUGUAGAUUUUUGAUCACUACGGCUGAGCAGAUAAGGAACGACAGCUGUAUGGGCUGAUGACGUGUGAUGGGGGAGGAUUUUCUAGAGAUAAUCGUAUUUUGGAUAAGAUACAAACAGAAUGAACUCAAACGAGAUCGAGACUAAUAUUUUAAACUAUAUUUAAUUUGACUUAAAAUCAGAUAACUUCACCUACCAAUCGAACACUUGAUCGCUCUGUCAUAGAUGAUUUAUUGGAGAAUCAAAUCUCAAUUAAAAACUCUCGGAUGUGAUGUAAGCUCGGUUAGCGAGCAAUGACUAAAUUAUUUUACACCUAAAAUUUUAGUCGUCGACUUCUUAUAAAUUUUGUACUAACACUUUUGUCGCCGAGUUUAAUUUAAUUUGCCCGGGAUAAAAAUCAUCCGAGUGGGUCGGGCUUUCGAAUUCGUAUUCGCGCGAGCGAUGAAUUUUAAAUACUCACCGGACGCACCGAUUUUCGGAACAACGAUGUUCCGAACAUCACGAAAAUUUUGGAAGAGUCCGAAUAAAUAAAAACGAUGUUGAACUCGCGACAAACGGAACAGAUGCGAUAUUAAAAUCGCGAUAGGUGAAGAAAAUUUUGGCAUCCGUUUUAUCCACUGAUUACGUGCUUAAAUUCAUACUCGUUGUCGAGCGGAAUAUAAACACCAGGGGUGUUACAGCCCUCCCCCCUUAAAAGAAUCUCGUCCCGAGAUUCGGAACGAAAGACAUCUAAGAGUAGAGAAGCAUGUAACACAUGUCCAUAUCAGCGGUAAUCGUGAGAUAUUUCCAAACAAAGGCGAGUGUGGAUGUUGAAUACUGUCACGGUUAACAUGCGGCUAACCAGAGAAUUCAAGUCCAUGAAAGAUGGUAUAGAUUCUAGAGAAUCACCAGCUGAUGGGUCUGGACUUUACGAUCAGUCCAUUUUAUCCUGGACUAAUCAUGGCUCGACAUGGUCACAUAUGCUGGAAAAGCACACGUGAGGUGAUCGAGACACGACUAGAGCGAUGGCUAGGUGGUUACUAGUCGACUUAAUCUUAAUUUUUUUUGGGAGUACUUUCUUUAGAGUGGGUUAGACCAAAGUGAGUUCAGGCAAAUCGAUAAAACGAUCUCUAAACUCGACCUUUGUUCACUGGGCAGUUACAAGUUAGUAAAACCAACUUGUUGAACUACUUUUGACAUUGAGCAGGUCCUCUCAGUACCAUCGGUAAGCCAACGGUCGAGAGUUCACAUUUACUCACGAAGGUCAUGCAUUUGGGUAGAAGUCCAUUUGGUCAGGUUGCUCAUCCGUUUCUUCAUGCGAGAUGAAUUAUCCACUUGAUUAGGGAAUACAUGGAUUAGAUAGGAGAGCGAAUGAACAAACUCCUGCAUCUCAGCGGCAGGGGAAAGUCAAUCUCCAAUUUGAGAGCUAAUUAGUUAUCUCUCAACACUAAAAAGCUCCAAGACUUCACCUUUACACAAAGGACGUAAAGGGAACUUGUAUACGUGUAGUCACUACCAAAGUCAAGGAAAAAGAUACUACGCAUGGAAAGUGGUAUGCCCAUUUUAUUCAACGGAGAUGAUAGAUGUUGCUUGAUCACUUGACAAACAACAUAGAAAUUAUUCAAGGGAAGGUCCACGUAAGAUAACCAUCAGGGUAGUUCCACAAUGGAUCAUGACCAGAGACCUUGAUACCAGCAUCCGACGAGUGGCACAGUCCUGUGUGCGCAUUCACAGGAGGCUCUCAGUUUCGCUGCGGCACCACAAGUCACUAACCAUCACACCAUUACAGAACUGGCACCAAUAGAGAAUCUCACGUAGCAAAAAUAGAUUGUGCCAAGAUAACACAUUGAUAUAGUCUCAUAAUGGAUUACAACUAUUAACUGUGAUACCAGCGCGUGCCGAGUAGCACAACCAUGUGUGCACAUUCACAGGAGGCCCUCGGUCUCGUCACAGCACCAUUGGUUUUAGUCAUAACACCAUUACCAUACGUAACCAAUAAGAAAUCUCGCACCACAUCAAUAGAUUGAGCAAGGGUGACAAUAUACGAAGAGAUACUCCACCUGUAAGAAUGGUUACAAGUAGAGAGCCAAAUAGAUCAUGGCCCGAUGAAAUGAACAGGGCAUGGCCAUAACCUGAAUUUGUUAAUGAAGGGAGUACGAUGGGAGACUGAUAAUUUAGCCCCAAGCAUAUUUCUAUGCCCAACGCAGAGAUCACAAGGUCAAGGAUUAAGUUGAUAUGCCUUCGAUAGACAUGAGGAAAUCAAAGGCAUCAAAUUCAAGAAAAUGGUCGGACAUGUCUUUCCUAGGUCAGGUUGACAAGGGAUAAGAUAAUCCGCAAGGAGAGGCCAAACACAAUAGAGACCUCAACCUGCAUCAACUGAAUAAGGGAAUGGCUCUAGAAGGAGACAUGACUUGAGAUUUUUUUAAGUCCGGGUACACUUUAGGUCUAGCAAAGAAAUUAUCUAAGCAUUCAUUUGUAUGUGUUUGGUCAUGGGGUGAUAAUGGUAAAUUCAAAUUUGGGUCUCGGUUCACCAACUAAGAACAUGGCCUAAUUUUAGAUUUAGGCAAACAAGUCACUAUCCUCCUAUCAGUACAUCAAGCACCAAAGCAAACACAUAAGGCACCCUAAGAGGUCACCUAAAGAAUGGAGGACACCUAUUUCAUCGAAGUUCAUAAUUCAGCAUUACACCAUAUUUUCUACAAUCAAUGGUUACUGGAAUAAAGAUGAGAGAAGCAUUUUGGAUGUAUAGGUGACAAACAUGAUGCAACAAUUAGGAUGCAUGCUCGUCCUAUGCGUCCUCACUAAUUUUUUGCCAACACACUGUGGCAAUAACGUUCUAUACCGGUGGCAUACGUUCUCUCUCGGUAUUUUGCUAGUCGUCAGCUACACAUACGUUUUCGAGGUUAGUGUACCUGCAGAAAAGUUUCAUCACAGCCCAAUUUCCCAUGAUGCAGUUCACACAUGACAGUUUAUCACAAUUUAUACUCCAUAUAUUGCUAUAUGGAGGCCAGCUCAUCAUUAAGCGCCGAGCCACGCAUAGGCGCCGUUGCCACACUUUAACCAUAGGGCAACUCAUUAUGGUAACUCACCUUCUUACCUGAGCGUAGGUGCGUCGUUACAAGUACAUUACACUUCUCAGUAUUCCCAUGUCUGUAUACCCAUACACAUCCAUGGGGUACUGAAUUCCCGAAAAAGUAAAUACGCCACAUCGCAGCCUUCAUAUAUACAUAUGUGGAACAUGUAUAUAAUCAAGCGCUACAAUUAAGCACUUCCCUAGACCGACGGUUGUUCGGUCAUGCUCUCACAUCUCACCUUACCUUGAGCGUCGAUCCAUUCAAAACUGAAUGGCCUUAAAAAUAACAAUACACAUGUAUGCAAUACCCCCGGUUGUGGGUUAGUGGUUUUUAAAUAAGCCACCUAAUAGUCCUUAAUUUAGGGCUUAACAGAGGAUGUCGCUAGCAUUAUAAUUUUUCAAAACUGUUUUUCAAAGCCAAACAAUGUGUUUAGUUGAAAAUAAGUUUUUCAAAACCAAAACUUUUGUUUUGAAAAUACGUAUGUGACCGUAUAUACUUAAUCCUGCUCCGAUACCAGCUGUGGCAGAACCUCCCAAGGUAUCGGGCCCACAUGCACCUGUCCUUGUCUUAAAGAACUCAGACGGCCAUGCAUGUGCACCAGAUAACUUAACAGGAUCCGUCCGAUUGCCCCACGGACACCGGAUAAACCACUUACAACCAGAACCGCGGGAUUAAGUAAUACAAAUCACACACACCAAUAUUUUGCAGCGGAAAUCUUAUUACCAAAUUUUACAAAUUACAAAAAUUUUACUUCGUACAUGAUCAGAGUGAUUACUACAUUGAUUCAAAGAAAGAAACUUUGAACGGUUAUAAAUUAUUUAUAGUUUUGAAAUAUAUGCUAGCUCAAGUGACCAUCCUCAAUAAGAAGAUAAAGGCGGGGUAUACUUAUAUAAGAAGGCCGAGCCCACCGGCACUUAACACCAUCAACAGCAGCACAAAACUAUAACCUGAAAAACAACAGGGAAUAAAACCCUGAGUAUGGAAUUACUCAGCAAGACUUACCCGACUAAAGAAAAGACUCUCAAGGAUAUGCUGGAUUUGGGAAUCAAGGAGAGGCUUUAGCAAGAAUCAACUUAGAUACUUUUGCAGAAAUAGCUUACUAAAGUGAGUCCUUACUUUCAAUAUUUUAACGCCAGAUUAAAUAUUUAAUAGACUCUGUUUGCAUCUAGUCUAAUUUCGUCAUCUCAUCAAUACAACAUCAUUUUUAUCCAUAGUGUUCACAUCUUGACUUAGGUUGUAGGUCGGAGCUCAAGUCUCCACUGUCCGGGGAUAUAACGGCGUUCCGAAUCGAUUUACUCAGCUGAGGAUUUCUAACCACACGACAUAUGUUACUCGUAAACCUUGAUGUCUACUAUUCCCACGGAUCCUCCACUACAUGAACAGGUCCGCGCCACCCGAGAGUACACCACCCCUUUUAGGCGAUCCGUUGCCAGGAGGGUACGUGCCACUCUCGCCAUCUCUCCACGCCCAGUGCGCGAUUGUCUUUUCAUGUAUGGAAUAGCCGGGUUCAAGCUUACCCUGUCCCAUUCUCAGGGCAUGUGGCUAGAUAAGAUAGUCCUUGAUCAACAGGCCUACAUACGCAUCCAAUCCUUAAUUGACCCGGGCGGAGCAUCAUCUGUUCCUAGCCCAAGUCUCGAUUUAAGUAUUUCCAUCCUUAGGAUUGUGUCUGUUCCUUAGGAUGAAAGAGCAUCACAGGGAACUUUGCAGUAAGAUCCCACUAUUGCUCCAAAUGAAAAUAUUCUUGCAGGUAGAAGCCAUCCUUUCUCGAGUUAAAUUAAGGACAACCUCUAUCCACGAGAUCUAAGCAAGGCUAAGCAUUUUUGUAAAUCAUAUUUUGAUACUUCACAGAAGUAUCUAUAAAGGUAUGGAUAUCAAGGAAAGCAAUGCAUCAAAGGGUUUCAAGCAAUUCCUAUGAACCUAAUGCACAUUUCACUAGACUUAAGUGUGCGAAAAGUAUUUAAAAACACAAGGAAAGGGGUUGCAUGCACCGGGGCUUGCCUGGAAUAAACACUAUGUUAGUGUUGGUUAGACGACGUCCGCUUGACGAUCAUCUUUAGGUUUGUCCAUCAGCAUCAUCCUGUGGAGUAGCCCGUGCUUGGGGUCGACUUGGGUCGUCUUCUGCAUCGCGCGAUUAAUUAACGUACCUGAAUGGAAUGCAUUAUGCACAUGAAUGCAUAUCGAUGGAAAUAUUACAAACCUAAAUAGUGUUACGUGAUGGCGAAUUUAAACACCUAGCGGCGAGGCGUUGUACAAUUUCAUACGGAAUCCCUAGUUAUUAAUAUACGACUACACGCAAUAAUUACGCCCCUCGAACCUAACGCAAACAUCACGAACAACAAACUAUACACAUUAAAUACAAUUAGCCUACACAACUCACCAGCUAAUUGAUUAAUUGCUAACCUUAUUCCUUGUUUUAUAAAUUAUACUACAUGGCUCACAAGGAACUAUUUUAAUUUUAUUUCACUCCUUACAUAUUUUACAUAUCAACAAUUAAUCAAACAUCUCUUUAUGUUAUUUAUUUAAUGCAAUUGACAACGACAAAAUUCAUCAGGUAGUUGUAUAAAACACUAAAUCUAUCCUUUACGUCGUUACUUCGCCCAGAUAUCACCUAAAUUAAUACACCUUUCGCAUUACUAAACCCAUCGUACUUUACUUAUUUUUAAUACUACCACAAUACGCCUGCGCUAAAUACGAAGAUUAUUACGAUUAAUAAUUCUAGUUAAUCCAAUCAUUAAAUAAACUUACAAAAAUUAUAAAUCGGCUCACCAGUAUCAAACGCGACCCAAUACUCGUACGAAUGCGGAUAAAUCCUGGCUCGAGCUUCCUGUCGCGCACAUGGUGAAUACCAUGCUGUUAGCCUCCGACUUCACCCAACUCUUGAGAUUUCUUGCUGACGCGCGGAACGACGACGAGAUUGAUUCUGAAGCGAGCUGGACUGCUGGCCAGUGACUCACGGCACGGCGAGCACGAGCACAGAGAAAGGAAAAGCGCAGGACCGAGCUCAAGGAAGGACCGCGCAAGGAGCUUGGCGCGCAGGGACGAGCGGGAGCAGAACGCUGGGUGCGCAGGAAAGCGAGCUAAGCGCGCAUACGCGGAAAAGGGAGCUGGGCACAUAACGCGCAGGAGCUUUGGCCGACGCCAUGGCUGGGAGCUAGGGCGAGCAGCACGCAGGCACAGCACACAAGGAGAAGCGUGCGCUGGGUGAGCAGGGAGCAGGAAGCCGGCGAGCCAACAGAGGAAGACACUCUGGAGAAACAGGGAGCUAGAGGAGGUCGCGCAUAGGGAGGUAGGUGGCCGAGCUGGGCGACUCCGGCGUGCAGGGAGUAUCGCGAGCUGGAACCAGGGUGCGGCGUGUCUUCCAUGGCCGAGCAGAGUGGUGGACUGAGGGGGACGCGGCCAAGCGGAGCAGGGGCAACACCAGCGAGCUCGCGCGUAGGGAAAACCAGGGAGCAGAGGCACGACAAUCCUGGCUAAGCAGAGGGGACGCCGCGAGCUGGAGCUGUAGUCAGGCGCUGGGCAGGGACCGAGCAGGGAGCACCAGGGAACAGCGGCAUCAGGCAUAGAACGAGAGCCCGACCAGGAGACGUGGAGUCGGGGCGGAGCUCGGCAGGGUCACGGCUGGGGACUUGGGCGCCGGGCGCCAUGGGGAAGGAAGCUUGGCUGCGACACGCAGAGAAGCUCCGAUCCGAGGACAGAGCGCUCAGGCGCUAUGGAGGGAGCACCGCGAGGGAGCUGCGUGGAGAGGGAGAGCUCAGCUGGGAGGAGUGGAAGACCACUCGGCUGAGCGAGGGAGAAGAUCAGUGGCUGCAAACAAAUAAUCUGUCGGAUGGGAAGCGGCGGCAGCAGGUAAGGCGGCUGGAGAUUUUUCUCCAAGUACGAGCGGCACAGACCAGGGGAUAAGGGCGAUGGGGAUAAGGAUGAGACCGGACGCGGGGAAGACCACAGGGAGCCGACGUAUGGAAACUAGGAGGCCAGCAACGUUUGUCCUAGAAGCUAGCGAUAGCAGGGAAUUUCUAGAAAUUGAACGUGAUGCUUGAGAAAGGAGGUGGCGUGGAGUUAGAAGAUAGAGAUGGCUAGGGAAUUCUCCAGGAGAUGACGUGGGAGGAUAAUAGAGAUAGGGAUGGUGGAGAGGAUAAGUACAUGAGUGUAGAUUUUUGAUCACUACGGCUGAGCAGAUAAGGAACGACAGCUGUAUGGGCUGAUGACGUGUGAUGGGGGAGGAUUUUCUAGAGAUAAUCGUAUUUUGGAUAAGAUACAAACAGAAUGAACUCAAACGAGAUCGAGACUAAUAUUUUAAACUAUAUUUAAUUUGACUUAAAAUCAGAUAACUUCACCUACCAAUCGAACACUUGAUCGCUCUGUCAUAGAUGAUUUAUUGGAGAAUCAAAUCUCAAUUAAAAACUCUCGGAUGUGAUGUAAGCUCGGUUAGCGAGCAAUGACUAAAUUAUUUUACACCUAAAAUUUUAGUCGUCGACUUCUUAUAAAUUUUGUACUAACACUUUUGUCGCCGAGUUUAAUUUAAUUUGCCCGGGAUAAAAAUCAUCCGAGUGGGUCGGGCUUUCGAAUUCGUAUUCGCGCGAGCGAUGAAUUUUAAAUACUCACCGGACGCACCGAUUUUCGGAACAACGAUGUUCCGAACAUCACGAAAAUUUUGGAAGAGUCCGAAUAAAUAAAAACGAUGUCGAACUCGCGACAAACGGAACAGAUGCGAUAUUAAAAUCGCGAUAGGUGAAGAAAAUUUUGGCAUCCGUUUUAUCCACUGAUUACGUGCUUAAAUUCAUACUCGUUGUCGAGCGGAAUAUAAACACCAGGGGUG